GGGCACUUGGUCUAGGGGUAUGAUUGUAAGUUUAACACCCUAUCUAAGGUUCUCAGCUCGAGCCAUAUACUAAUAAACGAUUAGUUCGCUUCGCAUUGUCCAAUUGCGUGUUUGUGAAAGGUCGUGGGUUCAAUUCCCACAGUGUCCA